UACGGAAGGUCCGGGCGUUAUCCGGAUUUAUUGGGUUUAAAGGGAGCGCAGGCGGGCCUUUAAGUCAGCUGUGAAAUACGGCGGCUCAACCGUCGAACUGCAGUUGAUACUGGAGGUCUUGAGUGCACACAGGGAUGCUGGAAUUCAUGGUGUAGCGGUGAAAUGCUCAGAUAUCAUGAAGAACUCCGAUCGCGAAGGCAGGCAUCCGGGGUGCAACUGACGCUGAGGCUCGAAAGUGCGGGUAUCAAACAGG
rnacentral:rRNA from 1 species